rnacentral:lncRNA from 1 species
UUGAAAACCCUUCCUUUCAUUAGUGAAAAUUUGACUAGGGGAUAAGGUUGCUUUAAUACUUGUACUUGGGCCAUCAACUUCUUCAGCUCCACAGAAAACAUUUGAUCAAUUGACUGUUCAGCAAAAAAGAAUUGUGGUGCAUGACCCACAGAUAGAAUAAAUAGUAAGCGAAUGAAUAACAUUACAUAAAUGUAGAGGUGCUUACUGUCAUUGUGAACAUCAUGACUGUUCUCUGUGUCAAAAGAAUCAAGGAUGACCAAAGUAUUCUCUUCGACACCCUUGCUGCUCCUCGCAUAACUUUCUCUGUGCAAGUCUUCUAACUUGAAAGCCACAUGAGAACAUAGACUAGCAUAGAUGUGUAGCAUUGAAAGCCACAUGAGACAAUAUGCCCCUUCAAAUAGAGAAAAUGGUGGAAUAAAAAAUACAGGAAGCAUAGAUGUGUAGCAUUGAAUUCAUGUUGUUUUAGAAAAUUAUGGUAAAUUUAAAAAAUGAAACAAUACCUUUAGCAUUAUAUUUUGCCCACUGAAUCCAGCUCAUUAUGGUCUUUUGGAGACCUUAGACUAGCAAGAAAAUCAUGUCACUAGGAGAGAAAAAUAAUUAGGCCAUUAUUAAAAGCUGACAAACACUUUGCAAGUGUGGCGGAGAAAAAGAGGAACAAAAAAGAAAAUAAGCUCACUUUGUUCACAUUUCUACCUCUCAGGACUAGAAGACUUUGUUUCCUGUUCAAUCCAUCUGACUUAGUGAUACAAAAUACCCAACAAAAGCCAAAGAAAACUGACAUGUCCUUGGUUAUACAAUAGCAAAAAAAAUUGAUUAAAACUCUAAUCCUUCUCAAGUGAAAAUCUGUGAAAAAAAUAAACUUGGAUUCGUCAAAUCUCACCUGUCACUCAAAGAAAGUGGUGUCAUCUUUGGUUCUAAUUUAAACAUCACAAAAUCAAAGAAAAUGGUGUUCUCUUGAUUCUAUAGUGAAUUCUAACUUUUAUUAAAAAAUUCUUGACUCAAAAAAACACUUUUGAAGGCUAUCCACUGCAAACAAUCAAGUUGGAACACUAGUUAAGAAAUCAAACAAAAAUUUCUCAAAAACAACUUGUGGAUUAUGCAGAAAUUAAUGAAGAGGAUUACGUAGAAAUUCUGUUAUCUAUUUAAGCACCUUCAUUCGGUUUAUUACAUGUGACAUUGGUUAAUACGAUAUUUAUCAUCAUUUUAUCUUUAACUAACACAAAAAAUGAUGCAUUAACACCCCCAAUUUAAAUUAUUACUAGUCCCUUAUCAAUGCUCACAAAACUUGAAAUUCGAAAUGACAAUGAUUCAAAACAUCAUGUUGAAAGGUAAGAUUGAUUUAAAAUGAAUCUACUUGCUUUAGACAAGCUUCAAAUUUAUAAGGCAAGUAUCAGGGGUGAAUAAAUUAUCUCCAUUGUGUAAACACUCCUCAAGAUUGCAUUUAAAAUUUCAUCUACAUCUUAACACAAAAUCAACACUUGUAAUUAGUAAAUAUCACCCAAUAGAUAACUGAAAAUUCUAUGUAACACUCAAGAGCGUUUUCCAUUCUAGAAACCUCAAUCUUUCCAUAGUUUGGAGUAUAACUGUCUUUCUAUUAAUGAUGAUUGUCAAUAAUAAGGACAGGUAGCUUUUUCCUCACGGUUUUUUUUUUUCUGACAAGAGGAGAGUGGAUAAACACUUCCAUUGUCUAAUGACCCGAUUUUUGGACCUUC